AACGAACGCUGGCGGCAGGCUUAACACAUGCAAGUCGAGCGCCCCGCAAGGGGAGCGGCAGACGGGUGAGUAACGCGUGGGAACGUACCCUUUGCUACGGAAUAGCUCCGGGAAACUGGAAUUAAUACCGUAUGUGCCCUACGGGGGAAAGAUGUAUCGGCAAAGGAUCGGCGCGCGUUGGAUUAGCUAGUUGGUGGGGUAAUGGCCUACCAAGGCGACGAUCCAUAGCUGGUCUGAGAGGAUGAUCAGCCACAUUGGGACUGAGACACGGCCCAAACUCCUACGGGAGGCAGCAGUGGGGAAUAUUGGACAAUGGGCGCAAGCCUGAUCCAGCCAUGCCGCGUGAGUGAUGAAGGCCUUAGGGUUGUAAAGCUCUUUCACCGGAGAAGAUAAUGACGGUAUCCGGAGAAGAAGCCCCGGCUAACUUCGUGCCAGCCGCCGCAGUAAAAC
rnacentral:rRNA from 1 species